CUUUGUUCUCAGUGAGAAACCUCUGGCGUGGGGUCAGCCCCUCCAUCUGCCAGCUCUCCUUCAGCUGCUCCAUCCAGCUGGGGUAAUGAGCACCUCUGGCAAUUCUGAUUCAAACACGACACCAAGCUGUGUUCCUUCCACCACUCCAGAGUCGCAGCAUGAGGCCCGGGAAAGCGCAGGAUUACCCUUGAAACCUCCAGGAAGA
rnacentral:lncRNA from 1 species